AUUGAACGCUGGCGGCAGGCCUAACACAUGCAAGUCGAACGAGUGGCGGACGGGUGAGUAAUGUCUGGGAAACUGCCCGAUGGAGGGGGAUAACUACUGGAAACGGUAGCUAAUACCGCAUACUAUCGGAUGUGCCCAUAUGGGAUUAGCUAGUAGGUGGGGUAAAGGCUCACCUAGGCAACGAUCCCUAGCUGGUCUGAGAGGACGACCAGCCACACUGGGACUGAGACACGGUCCAGACUCCUACGGGAGGCAGCAGUGGGGAAUAUUGCACAAUGGGCGCAAGCCUGAUGCAGCCAUGCCGCGUGUAUGAAGAAGGCCUUCGGGUUGUAAAGUACUUUCAGCGGUGAGGCGUUACCCGCAGAAGAAGCACCGGCUAACUCCGUGCCAGCAGCCGCGGUAAUAC
rnacentral:rRNA from 1 species